CCUACGGGUGGCUGCAGUGGGGAAUAUUGGACAAUGGGCGAAAGCCUGAUCCAGCCAUGCCGCGUGUGUGAAGAAGGCCUUCGGGUUGUAAAGCACUUUCAGUGGGGAAGAAAGCCUUGGGGCUAAUACCCUCGAGGAAGGACAUCACCCACAGAAGAAGCACCGGCUCAACUCCGUGCCAGCAGCCGCGGUAAUACGGAGGGUGCGAGCGUUAAUCGGAAUUACUGGGCGUAAAGCGCGCGUAGGCGGUCUGAUAAGCCGGUUGUGAAAGCCCCGGGCUCAACCUGGGAACGGCAUCCGGAACUGUCAGGCUAGAGUGCAGGAGAGGAAGGUAGAAUUCCCGGUGUAGCGGUGAAAUGCGUAGAGAUCGGGAGGAAUACCAGUGGCGAAGGCGGCCUUCUGGACUGACACUGACGCUGAGGUGCGAAAGCGUGGGUAGCAAACAGGAUUAGAUACCCGAGUAGUC
rnacentral:rRNA from 1 species